CCUACGGGAGGCAGCAGUGAGGAAUAUUGGUCAAUGGGCGCGAGCCUGAACCAGCCAAGUCGCGUGAGGGAAGACGGUCCUAUGGAUUGUAAACCUCUUUUGUCGGGGAGCAAAAGACGCCACGCGUGGCGUUCCGAGAGUACCCGAAGAAAAAGCAUCGGCUACCUCCGUGCCAGCAGCCGCGGUAAUACGGAGGAUGCGAGCGUUAUCCGGAUUUAGUGGGUUUACAGGGUGCGCAGGCGGAAGAUCAAGUCAGCGGUAAAAUUGAGAGGCUCAACCUCUUCGAGCCGUUGAAACUGGUUUUCUUGAGUGAGUGAGAAGUAUGCGGAAUGCGUGGUGUAGCGGUGAAAUGCAUAGAUAUCACGCAGAACUCCGAUUGCGAAGGCAGCAUACCGGCGCUCAACUGACGCUCAUGCACGAAAGUGUGGGUAUCGAACAGGAUUAGAUACCCCUGUAGUC
rnacentral:rRNA from 1 species